AUGCCGGACAGCAGCGGUGCGACCGUGCUGGACGACCUGCCGGAGUGGCUCGUGGUCGAAGAGAUCCUUGUCCGGCUGCCGACCAAGGACGUGCUCCGCUGCCGCGCCGUCCGCAAGUCGUGGCGCGCCGGCACUUCCGCCGACAAGUUCGUCCUCGACCACCACCGCCGCCAGCCGUCGCUCCCCAUCAUCCAACACCUUCAGGGCAUCUACUGCCUCGCCGCUGCCGGAGAUCAGAGGAUACGGCCCGUCCUCCGGUACACUCCUCCCUGUGCAGUCUUGUCCUUUCGGUCCCCUGAUUUCUUCGUCCUCGCCGUGGGCUCAGACCAGCCAAGACGCAUCCAAAGGCCGGAAGAUUCAGGAAGAUGGUUUCAGCUUGUCAGCCGGUACCCCGGUCACUCACCAGUCCACCAUCAUGGUAGCCUGCACUGGGCACUGAAUGUUGACAUAACGGUAUUCGACACCGUAACCGAGACAUUCCGGAAGAUGAGCCGCCCAGCACAGUUGGGGCAUAUGGUGUCGUUGUUGGACAUGGCCGGCGAUCUUGCUUUGUACCACCUCACCGGUCACGGCGAGAUAGAUGUUUGGGUGUUGCAGGACUAUGAUGCCGAGACCUGGAGCUUGCAGUACCGGAUUAACUUCUUAGAGAUGGAGGCACUGCCACCGCUUAAUUUGGAGGUGAAAGGUAUCCGUAGCGUGGCCGUAAUCAACGAGCGUGAGCUGUUGAUCAAGCACUAUCCUGACCGCCUGUUGCAUUGUGACGUUGAUGGUGCGUUCUUAGGGAAUGUGGCCGUAACUUCUUAG
rnacentral:rRNA from 1 species